rnacentral:misc_RNA from 1 species
UUUGAAUAUGAUUGAUUUCUUGCCAAUUUUGAGAUGGUUUGGUUAUAAAGGACUUGAGAAGAAGAUGGAUGUUAUUCAUAGUAAAAGAAAUGAAUUCCUCAAUACCUUGCUUGAUGAAUUUCGACGCAAUAAAAUCAGUGGUCUAAAGUCAAAUAGCAGCAAUACGCUGAUUGAAACUCUGCUGUCUUUCCAGGAAUCAGAACCUGAAUUCUACACAGACGAUAUCAUCAAAAGUAUUAUGCUGGUUGUUUUUGUUGCAGGAACAGAAACCUCGUCAUCGACAAUCCAAUGGGUAAUGAGGCUUCUAUUAGCUCAUCCUGAGGUAUUGCAUAAGCUAAGAGCUGAUAUUGACAACAAAGUUGGGAACAAACGUUUAGUACGCG